rnacentral:rRNA from 1 species
UGCAUAGGAAUCUAUAACAGAGUCGAGGACAACUUGUGGAAACAUAAGCUAAUACUGGAUAUUCCAUUACUGGGAAAGCCGGGGACCUUUUGGCCUGGCGCUCUGAGGUGAGCCUAUGUUAGAUUAGUUAGUUGGCAGGGUAAUGGCCUGCCAAGGCGAAGAUCUAUAGCUGUUCUGAGAGGAAGAACAGCCACACUGGGACUGAGACACGGCCCAGACUCUUACGGGAGGCAGCAGUGGGGAAUAUUGGACAAUGGGCGCAAGCCUGAUCCAGCAAUGCCGCGUGUGUGAAGAAGGCCU